GAUGAACGCUAGCUACAGGCUUAACACAUGCAAGUCGAGGGGAAACGAUAGAGAAAGCUUGCUUUUUCUAGGCGUCGACCGGCGCACGGGUGAGUAACGCGUAUCCAACCUGCCCAUCACUUGGGGAUAACCUUGCGAAAGUAAGACUAAUACCCAAUGAUAUCUCUAGAAGACAUCUGAAAGAGAUUAAAGAUUUAUCGGUGAUGGAUGGGGAUGCGUCUGAUUAGCUUGUUGGCGGGGUAACGGCCCACCAAGGCGACGAUCAGUAGGGGUUCUGAGAGGAAGGUCCCCCACACUGGAACUGAGACACGGUCCAAACUCCUACGGGAGGCAGCAGUGAGGAAUAUUGGUCAAUGGACGAGAGUCUGAACCAGCCAAGUAGCGUGCAGGAUGACGGCCCUAUGGGUUGUAAACUGCUUUUAUAAGGGAAUAAAGUGAGUCUCGUGAGACUUUUUGCAUAUACCUUAUGAAUAAGGACCGGCUAAUUCCGUGCCAGCCGCCGCGGUAACAC
rnacentral:rRNA from 1 species